AAGCGACCCCUCGCCCCGGUCCGCCCCCGGCAUUACCUGUCCCUGUAGCGCCAUCUGUGGGCUGCCAGGGCUUCUGUGGGUUCUGGUAGCGCAGGGUCCGAGAAAAUGCGCAAUGAGAGAUGCCAUAGGAGAGUUUUUUUCAAUUCCAUCGGCUGAACUGUGCUGCUUAGUCUUGGCACUUCUGUAAAGCUCGGCCAGGUGGGGACUGGGGGCUCAAACUUGGGUCCUUAUAUGUUGUAAUAUGUGUGCCCAACCAGGUGUGCCACCACCCAGCCUCUGGACCAAAGAUUUCAUUGGAGUGCAGAAGAUAGGAGACCUGGCUACUGGAUAUUGUGAAUCAUGCAGCCACCAAGUUGCAAAAGCUGCCAUGAUGCCAGCCUGACUUCCCUGGGCAGACGACCUCAUUGUAUUCUGGAACCUCAUCUCCCCAGAGCCCUACCCCACAAGGACAAAUAGAAAUGGGCUGAGGGUAUGGAUUGAGCUUCCAACACCCAUAUCAACCUGAGAAGCAAUUACAGAAGCCAGACCUUCCACCUUCUGUGUCCCAUAGAGAUCUUUGGUCCAUGCUCCCAGAGGGAUUUUUUAAAGAGUAGGAAAGCUUCUAGUGGAGGGGAGGGUAUUUGAAACUGUUGUGGUGGGAAUUAUAUGAAAUUGUACCCCUCUUAUCCCAUAAUGUUGUUGAUCAUUAUUAAAUCACUAAUAAGAAAAAAAAAAGAAAAAUUACUAAUAUGAAAAAAAAAUUAAGUUCUACUAAAGAACUGGCUCAUUUAAGGUACUUAUUAAAUACUGACUAAAUGAAUGAAUGAGUGAAUGAAUGAAUGAAUGGGUUUAGCCUCAUUACCCAGCUAUCUUACUUGUCUAGUUUAGCAUUUUCUUGUGAAAAAAAAAAAAAGGUCCAUCAAGGACUUUACAGACUUUUCCCCAAGGGUACCAUGGGAUCAAUCAACAACAAGGGAUAAACUCUGAGUUUGGGUCAAGUUCACUUACAAGUAGCAAUUUUGGACAAAAGCUCAGUUCUCUUA